CUUAUCUGCAGUGUGUCUCAUUUGGUGAGUGGAGUCUGUGCUGGUUAUCUUGCUAUGGAUUUCUUCUAUUCAGAAAUAUCUCCUGUAGCAGAGAAGCUGUUUAAAGUGAUUGUUGUAGGAGAUCCGACUGUUGGGAAAACUUCAUUCGUCCAACGAUACGUUCAGAAUUCGUAUAAGAAGGAUUAUAAAGGCACUGUGGGAGUCGAUUUUGCACUCAAGGUUGUAAAAUGGUCAGAGACUCAAACUGUAAAGUUGCAGCUUUGGGACGUUGCUGGUCAAGAGAGAUUCACAUGGAUGACGAGAGUGUACUACAAGGAUUCCCGUGGGUGUGUUAUUAUGUUUGACUUAACAAACAGAAACUCUUUUGUGAACACUGUGAAAUGGAAAAGAGACGUCGAUUCGAAAUGUCGGCUCCCAGAUGGUAGUCCCAUUCCGUGUUUGCUUCUAGCAAAUAAGUGUGAUUUGCGACAGCGACAAGUUGACCAAUUGGAAAUAGAAGAAUUUUAUAAGGAAUUCAAUUUUAUUGGUUGGACUGAAACAUCAGCGAAAGAAGGGCUUAUGGUGAAUGACGCGAUGAAGUUUCUCGUGGAUGUUAUGAUGCGGCAGGAUGGUACAGACGGAGCCGCGUUCAUAACGGACAGCUUGAAACUUACUGGACCCGGACUUUAUGCUCAGUCGUGUAACAACUGUUCGUGUUAGUCGCACUAAGUGUAUCCAAGUUUUGUGAACGUUCACAGUGUAUAUGAGACUGGCAGCUCAAUAUGUAUUUAUCAUUAACAAGAGGCACGACCAUUUGCACCACUGAGGCGGACACAAAUCGUAGCGACCGGCGAUCGUCAGUGGCAAGAGAUCACUGAUUAAGAAAGAAAGACAUAAACUUGGAUGACUACGAAGUAAAGAAAGUUCUUCCUUUGUGCGCUGUUUAGAAGUCGUUAUCCAGGACUCACGUUAACUCUGAACAAACUAAUAAAUGAGGAUUUAACCAG